rnacentral:tRNA from 2 species
GCGCCGGUGGUCUAGUGGUAGGACACGAGCCUUCCAAGCUCGUCGCCCGGGUUCAAAUCCCGGCCGGCGCA